GUACGCGGACAGAGUCUCCCCAAUACGUCCAAGGCGUCGCAAUCCAAACAAUCAACGAAUGUUCCAACUAGGAACGGAUAUCAAUCCAGAUUGCAUAAGGAAGUAUCAAAUACAUAAUCUACUUGCUAUUACAAUCAUUAAUUUUACAAUCACUUUUUACAUCACAGUUUCUGUUUACAUUUUUACUUCCAAAUUACAAUCUCGCUAUUACAUCAGAGUUAUCAAGUUUGAUACAUUUUCUUUUCUUGUCUUCUAGACCCCUAAGCUAGACUGUCUCAGGGUACUGCUACCUCGGUCUCUGUGGUGGGGCGCUAUCUACUGAGCUACGCCCUCGCCUCGCGCCGCCGCGCCACACACGAACAACCUGAAAACACCCCAAAACCAC
rnacentral:lncRNA from 1 species